rnacentral:rRNA from 1 species
AGUGAACGCUGGCGGUAGGCCUAACACAUGCAAGUCGAGCGGCAGCACAGUAAGAGCUUGCUCUUACGGGUGGCGAGUGGCGGACGGGUGAGGAAUACAUCGGAAUCUACUUUUUCGUGGGGGAUAACGUAGGGAAACUUACGCUAAUACCGCAUACGACCUACGGGCGAAAGCAGGGGAUCUUCGGACCUUGCGCGAUUGAAUGAGCCGAUGUCGGAUUAGCUAGUUGGCGGGGUAAAGGCCCACCAAGGCGACGAUCCGUAGCUGGUCUGAGAGGAUGAUCAGCCACACUGGAACUGAGACACGGUCCAGACUCCUACGGGAGGCAGCAGUGGGGAAUAUUGGACAAUGGGCGCAAGCCUGAUCCAGCCAUAUCGCGUGGGUGAAGAAGGCCUUCGGGUUGUAAAGCCCUUUUGUUGGGAAAGAAAAGCAGCAGGUUAAUACCCCGCUGUUCUGACGGUACCCAAAGAAUAAGCACCGGCUAACUUCGUG